AAAACUACUUGGCUCAUCUGGGUUACUAGUUUGGUAUCUUACUAAGCCUGACUUGUCUAGAUCCCAAGAUCUGGAAAGUGCAGAGGCAUCCAGGGUGGUUUGGCCACAGAACCAAUACUGCUUCUCUCUGCUGAGGAAGGCUACCUGCUGCCAUCCUGGUUGUAACCUUGACAGACAAAAACCACUGCAAAUCUGUGUUUAAAAGGUGGGUUAAGCAGUGGCUUUGGUGUAUUAUUCUCUCAACAUCCAAGAAAGCAGACUGAGAGAAACAUCCAGAAGGAGCCGGAUACUUUUAGAUUCCAUCAAGAACUUCAUCACAGGCCUCUUAAAGAAUGCUGGGCCCAACAGUGGAUAGAGUCACUGAUAUUUUUUCUCAUCCAGAAGCUUGCACAGCGCCUUCCACCUACCAACACCAUGAAAGAGCCAACCCGGAGACUUUGCUGGCAAAUUCAAGAUUGAGUUCUAUGUGUCCUGCAACCAAAAUGUGUGGCAACUUCAACAGUAGCAUUUUAACAUCUGGUAGUUUUAAUAACCAAGAGCAGUUGCAGUCACUUGGGUUCCAUGGGUGUCUCUGGAACCUUCUUGAAAAAUAAAUAAUUCAUAGGGAGGUAACCUGUGCCUGACAUUGAAUUUUUUAUUUAAUAACUGGUGUCUUCUGGGAAUAAUUCACUGCGGUGUGAUGCUUCUAUUCAAGCUCUUUAAAAAAUUUUAGUUUAAUUCAGUUCCAAACUAGUGGGGUUUAUUCAUAUAUUCAU